UGUAAAAUGGAGAUAAAGUACUUACCUUGUC
rnacentral:piRNA from 1 species